rnacentral:rRNA from 1 species
GGUGAAAUUCUUGGACCGUCGCAAGACGGACAGAAGCGAAAGCAUUUGCCAAAAACGUUUUCAUUGAUCAAGAACGAAAGUUAGAGGUUCGAAGGCGAUCAGAUACCGCCCUAGUUCUAACCAUAAACGAUGCCAGCUAGCGAUCCGCCGACGUUCCUCCGAUGACUCGGCGGGCAGCUUCCGGGAAACCAAAGCUUUUGGGUUCCGGGGGAAGUAUGGUUGCAAAGCUGAAACUUAAAGGAAUUGACGGAAGGGCACCACCAGGAGUGGAGCCUGCGGCUUAAUUUGACUCAACACGGGAAACCUCACCAGGCCCGGACACCGGAAGGAUUGACAGAUUGAGAGCUCUUUCUUGAUUCGGU